rfam:Glossina austeni unplaced genomic scaffold Scaffold27, whole genome shotgun sequence.
CCAAAGGAUCCCAUAGGAUCCAUCUAUAGGACCCAUAAGAUAUUA